GUUUCUUCCCAGUUUUUCAUUCAUUUUUACGAAACAUGACCGCCGUCUUCGUUUCUUCCUGCUCUGUUCGUGCUGUUCUCUCCCAAAUUACCACCUUCAAUUGGCCAUCAACCGUUCAAUUAGCCGUGAGCCCGCUAAUAUACUUGCUUGAAUGUUGCUCCAAUUGAAUUCCAAAAUCCCGUGCUCUCCCUCCAUUUUAUCUCCCUUUUUUCCCAAAUCCAAUUAGGCUUUCUCAACUCUAGUCGUUGUUGUCCAUCUGUCCGUGUCUCCGCCACCGUGUGUCCGCCUGAGUGCCGCUGGCUCAUAUGACUUGUGAGCCCUCUUUUCUCUUCCCCCCCCCCCCCCCCCCCCCGCCCCGCCCCCGGAACUUUUAGUGUGUAUAUAUAUAUAUAUGUGUGUGUGUGUGUGUGUGUGAAUUUGCGGAUUUAAUAUUGUAAUCUUUGAAUUUGUGAUUUGGGGUUAUGAUUUGCUAUAUUAUGAACCGUGAAAUAUAGAUGAAGCGAACGGUUAACACUCUAUUCCAGGGAUAAACCAAAAUUUAAUUUUAUUAAAUUAAACUUGCAAAUUGAAUUAAUUUUCAACCAUUGAUGGUUUCAUGGGGGGUGGAGGGGACUACCUAUUGAAGAAACAUUUCUCAACCAGUUUUCUUGCAGCUUUUAAUAGGCAACUACUUAUUGAAAAGAAACUUUUAAUCUCCUUUUGAUGAACUUAUUUCUGUUUUUGUGAAAACAGCAGAGGUUCAAGAGAGAGAAAAAUUUCCUUAGGUGCUUUAAUGAGUUGAUGAGCUGACAAAAUCAGUUGGCUUAUUUACUAAUGUGAAUGUACCGACUGCUUUGCUAUUAUGAGAAAAUUUUUUAGUGAUGGGAAAAUCCAUCGUGGAAGCCCCUUUUCAUUAAUGAAAUAUUACAUUAACCCAUACUUUUAAGUGGCUGUCUAAUUUGAAAUUUCAUGAUCCAGUUCUUCGCUCGAGUAAAUUGAAGUUAAUAAAAAAUUUCAAUAAUAAUGUGGAGAUAAGAACAGCAAGUUUAGAAUAAGGCAUUCUACACACCACUCACACCACUAAUCUGACUGCUGUCACUGUUAUUGUUGUUACUUUUAUCAUUUCUCGAGUUACUUAACCAAGUUAUCUAUUAAUUUCUCAAUUACUGUAGUGUUGAAGGUGUUUGUGACAGUUCCAAUACCGCCUAUUUCAAUUGAUGUUUGAAUUAAUUUUUUAUAAUUUCAGUUUGUAUGAAACAUUAUUGUCAAAAUGACUUACCUAAUUGGAACUUGAUUUCUAUGAUGUCCUCUAUAUAUAUAUAUAUAUAACAGAUUAUAAUUUAAUGGUGUUGGUGUAUUAUCAUGGAUAAGAUUCGGGGCUGACCCUGAUAUUUUGGGAGUUUUAUGACAAUUUCAAAUUGGGGCCCCAUAUUUUGAGUUAUAGAGUUUUAGUUUGUUUGAUGAAAAUUAAGCCCUUGUUUGAGCCUCAUUUUUUCAUCAAAAUACAUUAUUCAAUAGUGAUUUGAUACAAUUUCAACAACACAUUUUUCAAUAAAAUAAUAUUAUUCGCAUAUUCAAAUUUUUUUCUUAUUUUAUAACCAUACAUUCUCCAUCGUAAGACUAUUUUAAAAUACAUUUUUUUUAGAAAAAUGGGGCUCAAACAACCCUAAAAUUAAUUUUUUGGUAGAUUUUUAUAGAAGUAGAUAAAAUAUGUAGAUUUGAAGUUCUGGAACCCAUAAAAUAUGUUGUUAAGAUUAAUUGUUGAUUUAGAUUUAGAUUAAAAUAUUUUAAUCGAUACCAAACAGGGGCUUAAUAUAAAUAUAAAGAAUUUAACACAGACAACUAAGUCCCAAAAUUUGAAGCGAGAAUUAAUAAAAUGUCAAAUUUCAACAAACAACAUAAAUUAUAAGUAAAGUUUGGCAAACAGAAUUGCAAUGCAAUGGCAAAGGGGUAUGCUCAUUUGUAUGAUUAUUUUCUCACUGCAACUUUUUCAAAUAAAAUUGAAUAUACAUUUGAGUGAUUUAUGUACAAAAUUGGAUAACGUGACUGCAAAAGAUAGUGUAACAAAAUAAUUAAAAUAAUAAUCAAAUACAAACGAGCUUCUAAUUUUAUAUUAAUUUAUAAGAAAUUAAUUUAAAAUAAGAAAUAUCUGUAUGAACAAGGAUAAAGAAUUAUUAAAUUCAAAUUACUUUCAGUAAAUAUCUAAAAAUAUUAUUAUCAUGGGAUCAAAACAAAACAAUACAAUAACAAUCUAUAUAAUUUGUAGUUUAUGUUUUGAAGAUAAGAGAGAAAGAAAGAAACCUGUAAGGUUGUAACAAUGAUAGUGAGACAAACCAAAUUGCAUUGAAUCUUCAAAAUCUUAAUUCAAAGGGAGAUAAUUUAUUUCUUGUUGGGUUGAAAAAAUAAUGGUGGGUGAUUGUUGGAUAUGAAAUUGAAAAAGACAAAGAGAUCUUUUGUUUGAUUAAAAAAAGAAAAUGAAUGUUUAAAAGAUAAAGUGUCAACUUAAUAUAAAUAGGGAAAGUAAUGUUUCUGAUAAAUAAAUGUAAGUGAUAAGUUUUUUGUCAUAUAUAUAUAUAUAUAUAUAUAUAUAUAUAUAUUAAAGAUUUUUAUAUUUUCAAUUUUUAUUAGUUUCUUAUAUUUGCAUGUGAUAAUUCUAUUGUCAGAAUUUCAUAAAUAUAAUUUUCAUUUUUCUUCAACCAAUCAAUUAAUUUACAUAAUUUGGGGCCUUAGGUGAUUGCCUAUUUCGCCUAUACUUAGGGCCGUCACUGAUAAGAUUGGAUACAUUUAUUAAGGUUAUAUCAUCCUACACAUGAGCUUUUUCUCCUUGAAGAUGCAUUAGGAAGAAAACACGUAUGGUAUAGUUGCCACAAUCAUGGGUGUAGAAUUUUGGAUAGGCGGCUAUUAAAAUCUUGGAAUGGCCUCGCUCGGCUCUACACGCAAUUCUCAACUCCAAGAAGUAGACUUUAAUAUGGAUGUAAUACUUUGUAACAUUUUAUUUAUUUAUUUAUUUAUUUUGAUGUAGUAUAUACUUUUUGAGAAGUAUUGAGAUGAAUUUUAUAUUGAUAUAUUGUAUUAAACUGUACUCAAUAUUUGUGUUUACCGAAACUAUGGAAAACCUAGUAAUAUAUAUGGAAUUUAGUUUUGUAUUUAUUUUUAGGUGUGCUAGUAAUUAAAUAAAAAGAAUAAACAAACCGCAUGCCGUAACUUUUUAAGAUGUGCAGCUGGAUGCCGUAAAAAUUAAUAACGACGUUGAUAGACUGCGUGCAUUGCACCCUGUAAAAGGUGAACACUUUUUACGGCAUUGCUUUAUACAUCGUGCGGCCACAAAGUCUAUUUUGUUGUAGUCCGCCAAUGAGUUAUGCGCCUAUGCUUUAAUUUAUGAUAUUUAUUGAUUUUGUUUUGUAGAUAUUUGCUUUUUUUUUGAACUAUUUUUGUAAUAUGUUUAUUUAUCAGGAUAGGCAAUUCAGUGGUUUAUAUGGGCGAAUUUUAAUGGAAGAAAUGAAAUCUUUGUUGGGUUGUAUUUCCAUAUAGUAUAUUUUGCUACGAUAAAAUAAUUAUUUAAAAUAAAUAAAUUGUGAUUUUAUUUAUUUAUUAUAUUAUUUAUUAUUAAGCAUGCGAAUUAAAGUAACUAUGAUCACUUGAGAUAAUAUAAGUUGGAUAUUUGUGUUGAGAAGCACAGUUUGACACAAUUUAUAUUUUGACAAUAAAUAAUUUAUUCACAAUUAAUGUAAAAGAGUUGGCACUUUGUAUUGGAAAAUUGUAGUGUUGAUCGAUUCAUUAUUUAGGUUUGCGAUUUGUCCUUAUCACAUAAAUAAUUAAAGUGACACUAAUACACUUGGAGUGUAUUGAGCGGAUCGCGUGUCGAAUUUAAUUCUAUAGUAUAAUCAUGCGGAGAAUGAAAUUCCACCUGAACGCUGUGCAUUUCAUCUAAACCCCUCGACAAGGUUAAGGCCAUCUCCAAUGUGAGACCCAAAACACCAAAAUGUACCAUUUUUUGUUGCAAAAGAGUUCCAAUGCAACACUACACUUUGCACCAUUUUUGUACAAAAUGGUGCAAAGUGUAUAAAGUCUUUUUUAUCCUUUCUCAUCGUUUUCCAAAUAAAUUGAUUAAGGGUAUUUGUGUCAUUUGUGCUAUAUAUUUUUUACUACAAUAAAUUAUUAUUAUUAUUAUUAUCAUCAUCAUCAUCAUCAUCAUCAUCAUCAUUAUUUUCAUUUAAAAUAAAUUUUUUAAAUGUAAAAAAAUAAUAAUUAAUGAUUAAUUAAAAGUAGAAAAAAAUAUAAAAUAUAACAAACACAAUUAUUAAUGAAAAUUAACAUGAAAUAUAUUAAACGACGACAUACAUACAAUAAUCUAAUUUUAUUUAAAGAAAACGAUACAUAAAAAGAGCAUAGUUUAGUGAUUUGCAUUAAUCGAUGACUUGUGGGAAGAACAUAUGAAUUCGGAGAAUUUAGAUGCAAAAAUUUUGUGACUUCGUAUUAUCAUAAUAUCCAAAUUCGAAAUGCAUUGUCCCAUUAUUUUGAUGGCAUGAUUUAAUAUUUUCGUUGUUGUAGCGUUUUUAUUAAUUGUAUUAUGUUUUUUUAUAUUUAUUAAUGAAUUUAAUUUUUCCCAUAAUUUAAGCCCUGUUUGGCUCCCAUUAAUUUUCAUUACAUUACAUUUCAUUUUUCUCUAUCAUAUUUUCAACCACACUAUCUUCCAUAAAAUAAUAUUACACGUAAAUUGAAAAUUUUUCAUUCUUUUUUAACAACUCAUUUUUCACUAAAUGGGAGCCAAACGAGGGCUUAAUGUAUUUAGUAAUUUAUGUAUUUAUAAAUAGUUAAAUAGAUAAUAUUUCAAAUAAAUAAAUUACUAAUAAUAAAAAAGGGAAGAAAAUAGUUAAACAUUGUUCAUUUGAUGUAAGUUUUGGUAUAGUGGUUGGACAUGAAUUUAGUUUGGUACAAGAUUUGGUGCAAAAUGGUGCAGCGCUGGAGAUGACCUAAUGGUUCUUUGAUUUAUUAAUGGAAGAGAUCAAAUUGAUUGGUCAAAUAUCUUUAUGAUUUGGGAACUUGAGAAUGAAUGGAGUAGAGAGCAUGAAUUCGUGUCAGGAAUUGUAAUCCUGAAAAAUGGGUAAAGUGACUACUUAAGCAUUUUAUGUUGAACGGUUAUAAUUUGAGCUCAAUGUUUAACGAAGGUUAAACUUUGACAUCUAUAAUUAAUUUACAGGACCGUUGAAGAAAAUUGUAUUUAAGCUAGUGAGAAUAAUUAGAAGGGUAAAAUGGUCAUUUAUACUCAUACCUAAUUAUCGAAUUUCGGAUGGGAAUAAAAUACAUAUACGGCAGGUCAGAGAAAAAUAUUACAGAUUUAUUAGCUUUUGUGAACUUAUAUAUUUCAAGAGCUUAGUCUUUCACCUUUAGUGGAAAAAUCAUAGACUAAUAAUUAGAUUGGAUGGUCUAGGUUCUACUAAAUAGGAUCUAAUUAUUGGAGUUUGAAUAAUAUAUACCCCAUCAAGUCAUCGUGGUAGCUUCAUAAACUUUUGGACCUGAAUUACGAAAUUAUAAUAGUUUUGAACUUAAUUGUAAUUAUAAUAAAGUUUUGUAUUUAAUUGUAAUUACUAUAAAUGUUGUAAACUUAAUUAUAAUUGUAACUGAGGUUCUAAAACUAUACAUGUAAUUACAUGUAAACUAAUUGGAUUUGGACUUUAAUUAAAGCUCAUAAUUGGAUUUUAUUUAGAACUCAUAUUUGAAUGUGAAAUUGUUAUUAUAUAAGGAUUGAAACUACUCUAUCUCUAUAAAUAUAGAUUAGAUGAAACCUAGAUAUCCUAUGAAAUUGUACAAUAUUCAUAAUACAUAAUUUCAGGGUAUUCAAAUUUAGAGAGAGAGAAAAUGAAAAAAGAAAAAGAAAUUGUUAUUUUUCUUGCUUUUAUCAAUUGUCUAGAUCAAUAAUUAAUUUCUUGAUUUAAUUAAAAGAAGGUGUCCAUCUACCAGUAUAGUCUUGACUUUGAAGAAUAUCAUAGAAGACUUAGAGAUUUGAAUCAUCAAGUUUUUGCAAUUAAAAAUUGGAAGUUUGUGAUCCAAAAGAUUGGAUGUUCGUGAAUCAAAAUUAAAAUCAAGAAUCGACCAUCGAAUUUAGGUAAAAAUUCAAAUAAUUUAUUCUUGAUAUAACAUACACGUGAAUAUCUAGGCGAUCUGUUUAUAAAAUUAAAGAUUUUUUUUAAUUUCUAGAUAAUUCCACAUCAACGUCUUAACAAUCUUGUCUUUAUUCUCACUUCUCAAAUAAGCAAUGGCUAAGCAAUGGCUUUCGCUAAUUGGUGAUUGGAAUUUUUAUGGAAUUUAUUGUUAUCUAUCACGCUAAUACGGAAUUGGAUGUGGGAAUCAUGGAAAAUUGUGUCUAACGGAAUUGAUUGUGGAAUAUAGCUAUACAUUAUUUUCUAUUGUGAUUUAGUGAAAGAGGGAAACUUUGCCUAAUGGAAUUCAUUGUGUUUCAGCUGUUGAAUUAUAUGUGUUCAUUUUUUUGUUGAGUUACAUUUUGUAAUAGUUAUUAAGAGAUUUUCUAAACAGAAGUUUGUAUUUGACGUUAUUCAGUUAUUGAAGAAAAUGUAUUUAAUAAUAUUGAUAAUAACCUGAUUAUAUGACGUUUUCAAGGUAUGAAAUGUGUCGAUGAAUAACAUAAUAAUGUACUGAUCUAUUUAUAUUAAUUUUAUAUUGAUCUAAAAAUUCUAAAAUUAGUAUUUUACAUUAUUGAGGACGAUGACAAUAUUGAUAAUGCUCUGAUUAUAUGACAUUUUCAAGGUGUGAAAUGUGUCGACGAAUAAUGUAAUAAUGUAUUGAUCUAUUUAUAUUAAUUUUAUUGCUUUAAAAAUUCUUUUUGUAACUUAAUUUUUAACCCCAUAAUAAAAAAUAAAAAAUGCCUUCACCACUCAACAUGAAUAAUAUACAUUAAAUGCCAUUAUUUGAGUCUGCUAUUAUAUGUUAAAUACCUAGAAUAUUUCUUUAAUAAUUAUUUCUUUCGCUCUCACUUUCAACUUUUGCUUACAAUACGAUUAAUAAUACAAUAUUAAUAAUAGAAUUCAAUAAUGUCAGUUAAAAUAUAUUAUUUUUGUAAAUUUUCUACCUCCAAACCUCUCUUUGAUUUGUUUCUCCCUAGAUCCUCCAAGUCCGGCUUAUAGGGCUUCAACAUGCUUACAUGAAAAAUCGGAUGGAUCUUUAAAAUGUUUAGAAGAUCUAGCCGGUAGGAAACUCUUCCAACCUUCGUGAGGAUGGGGAACAGACCUUCAUAUUUUCUAACCAAGCCCUUGUGAACUCUGCGGUAGGCUUUGAAUUGCUGAGGCAACACUUUCACAAGUACUUGAUCUCCAAUGUUGAAUUCCAAUGGUCUUCGUCUCACAUCAGCCCAUUUCUUCAUUCGCUUCCGGGCUUUCUCCAAGCAAGAUCUUGCUAAGUCCACAUGAUCUCCUCAUGACUUGGCCAUUUUGAUUGCUCCGGGACUUCGGUUAGAAUCACCAACCAUUGAUAAUGUGUGGAACAUUGUUGGUUGUCGCCCUAUUGCAAGCUCAAAUGGACUAUGUCCUGUGGAUUCACUUUUCUGCAAGUUGUAGGAAAAUUGGGCUAUGUCCAUCAACUUCGCCCAAUCCCAUUGAUUAGCACUAAUAAAGUACCGAAGAUAACACUCCAACAAUGCGUUCACCCGUUCCGUUUGUCCUUCCAUCUGAGGGUGAAAACUACUUGAAAAGUGCAAAUCCGAUCCAAGGAGUUUAAACAACUCCGUCCACAAUUUCCCGUGAAGCGGGGAUCCCGAUCACUUACAAUAUGCUUUGGCAACCCCCAAUACUUCACAACAUUUUUGAAGAAUAACCUUGCCGUCUCCUUCGCAGUGCAAUCCUUACGGGCUGGAAUGAAAGUAGCAUACUUAGAAAAUCGAUCAACAACAACAAUUAUUGAUCCGAACCCUUCGGACUUUGGCAAUGCACUAAUGAAAUCCAUGGUGACCACGUCCUAUGGUUGAUCCGGAACGGGAAGAGGAUCAAGAAGUCCCGUUGGUAAUUUAUUCUCCACUUUGUCUUGUUGGCACACAAGACAUGUUCGGACAUAUGUCUCAACUUGAUCCCUCAUUUGCGGCCAAUAAUAUGCUCGUUCAAUCAAAGCUAAUGUCCGAUCUAUCCCGGGAUGUCCAGCCCACUUGGUGUCAUGACAUUCCCGAAUCAAGUCACGUCGCAAGUUUCUCCACUUAGGCACAAAUACCCGUUGCCCAGUGGUGUAUAGCAACUCGUUGUCAAUCCAAAAUCGUCUUGUUUUUCCUUCUCGAGUGGCUUGCAUCAAUGUUUUCGCCAUGGGGCCAUGCUCCAAUCCUUAUUUAAUUUCCUCUAAUAAGGUACCCCUGGCUUGACUAAUUGCCGCAAGUUCCGCCUUCCGGCUAAGUGCAUCCGCCACUACAUUCACCUUCCCGGGUUUGUAUUCCAUCAUAUAAUCAAACUCCGCUAAGAAAUCUUGCCAUCUAGCUUGCUUUGGGCUCAACUUCUUUUGUGAUUGGAAGUAACUUGUAGCCACGUUGUCCGUCUUGAUCACAAAACGGGAACCCAAAAGAUAAUGACGCCGUACCCGUAGGCAAUGCACAAUGGCCGUCAUUUCUUUUUCAUGCACCGUGUAACGCCGCUCCGUGUCAUUCAACUUGCGGCUCUCGAAGGCAAUAGGAUGACCUUAUUGCAUGAGCACACCUCCAAUAGUAAAAUCCGAUGCAUCAGUUUGAACUUCAAAACUUUUGUUGAAAUCCGGUAAGGCCAACACCGGCUCCGACAUGGCCGCCGCCUUUAAAUCAUCAAAGGCUCUUUGACAUUUUACGGUCCAAUCCCAUCCUUGAGACUUUUUGAGCAAGUCCGUCAAUGGGGCUGCUCUGGAUGAGUAGCCUUUAAUAAAACGCCGAUAGUAAUUCACCAAUCCAAGGAAAGACCGCAACUCCGUCGCCUUAGUAGGUGGCUCCCAUUCAUUGAUUGCUUUUACUUUGGCUCCAUCCAUUUUCAAGUGACCAUGCCCGAUGAUAUGUCCCAAGAAAUGAACCUCUUCUUUGGCAAAUGAACAUUUCUCCUUCUUGAUGUAUAAUUCAUUUUUCCGCAACACUUGGAAGAUAAUUUUCAAGUGCUCAACAUGUUCCUCCAACGUGUUGCUAUAGAUGACAAUAUCAUCAAGAUAAACCACCAUGAACUUAUCCAAGUAUGGAUAAAAUAUCUUGUUCAUCAAGGUACAAAAGGUGGCCGGGGCAUUUGUCAAACUGAACGGCAUGACAAGCCAUUCAUAGGAACCAUACCGAGUAAUGCAAGUAGUUUUAGGCUCAUCUCCUUCCGCAAUCCGAACUUGAUAGUAGCCUUCUUGCAAAUCAACCUUGGUGUAGCAUUUAGCGCUACCAAGCCGAUCAAAUAAGUCCGCAAUCAAUGGAAUAGGAUAUUUGUUUUUCACCGUCACCUUAUUUAGUGCCCAGUAAUCAACGUACAUCCUUAGUAUCCCGUCCAACUUCUUUUGGAAUAACACUGGGGCGCCAUAGGGAGCUUUGGAUGGUCUAAUCCUUCCCGUCUCCACAAGCUCCGUAAGUUAUUUUCGAAGUUCCUCUAACUCCGGAGGUGCCAUGCGAUAAGGUGCCAUGGCCGGGGGUUUGGCAUCGGGCUCCAACUUAAUGCGAUGGUCUACUUCCCUCCUAGGUGGAAGUUUCUUUGGCAACUCCUUGGGCAUCACGUCCUUAUUUUCCUCAAGGACUUUUCCAAUUACAUUUGGUAAGUCAUCAUUAUUUGCGGUGACUUCGGUUGCAACCGACAAUUGAGCAAUGAAUGUCGGCUCACCCUUCUUCCAUCCUUUUGCUAAUUGCAUAGCCGAAAGUUGUCGUGUUUCCAUCCCCAUGGAAAUGGUAGGAACCAUGCAUGAUGAUCCCUUCUCCAAGAUGCAUAUUGAACCAAAGGAAGGCAUAGGAAUAGCAUUAAACUUCCUUAAGAAAUCCAAGCCUAAUACUAGCUUGAAAUCAUCCAUCGGGGCCACAGAUAUAUCAACGGGUCCAUGCCACGAACCCAAUCGUAGUUUCGCUCCUCGAAUUACACCUGCUAAUGGCCUUGCGAUUGCAUUUACCGUCUUAAUUAAUCCACCUUCAUGGUGAAUAUUCAAUCCAAGCCUUUGGGCUUCAUCCUCCGUGAUGAAAUUGUGUGUGGCUCCGGUAUCAACUAAUGCCCGUGUUUGCUGUCCAUUGAUUUCGGCAAAUACGAACAUCAAUCCUUUUUCUCUGUUCACCCCUGGAACGGUUUUGGCAUUCAAAGCAUUGAAAGUUGCAAUGAACCCAUAUGACUUGCACCUUCUUCCUUGUCAUGGGAAGCCUCCAGUUGAGUCUCCGUAAUAGAUGCCAAGGAUCCAAGUUUAGGGCAAUCUCGCAUGAGAUGUGGCCCUUUGCAAAUGAAGCAACUACGAGGAGCAAAAUUACCCCUCUUUUUAUCAUCAUACUCCUUCCGCCAAGUAGUUGGUUUGUUGCCACCGGGUUUGUAAUCAACUUUGGGAUUUGGCCUCCAAUUUGGCUUACUCUGUUGCUUAUCUUUUCACAUAUCACCUCCCCCUUUGCUAAAACUCCCUUUAGUUGGUUUGAAAGUCCUUGCUUGCGACUCCGUACUCCUUUGGAACUUCGUCAAAGAUUCGGCAACCGCAAUUGUCUCAUCUACAUUUUUGACUCCGCGACGUUGUAAUUCUUGCUGGACCCAUGUUGUACAUCCAUCCAUGAAAUAGAAUAGCAAGACAUCCUCCGGCAUGCUAGGGAUUUGAAGCAUAAGGGUCGUGAACUCUUUGACAUAGUAACGGAUGGUCCCUUUUUCAAUUCUCUUAGUUUCUAGCGGGCCUCGUACACAACGUUCUCCGAGUAAAAUUGCCUUUUUAGCUCCCUUUUGAACUCAUUCUAAGUAUCAAUUCUGCUAGCUCCAUGUUCAACAUCGGCAUGCUUACGAUGCCACCAAAGAGAUGCGGUGUCAUUAAGAUACAUAGAAGCGGUCCGAACUUUCAUGACUUCAUCAACAAGAUUUACACCUUCAAAGUAAACUUCCAUUUGCCAUAGGAAGUUUUCCACAUCUUUGGCAUCCCGUCACCCAUCAUAAUGUUUAGGCUUCGGGUAUUCAAUCCUCGGGGCAACAAUAGUUGAAGCGGCACCUCCACUUGUACCGGCAGUGGAGUGCUUGUAUUGUUCAAGGUCUUUGCUCAUUCUUUCCAUCAUCACAGCCAAUUGGUUAACUUGGCCAUGCAUGGCGGAAACGGCAUCCAAGACUUUGGUUUGAAGACGACCAAAAUCAUCCGUCACCGCGGCUCGUCUGGCUACCACAGCUCGAACAUCAUCUCUCAUCGUUUGGACAUCAUUUUCCAACGAUGCUUGUAUGUCCAUCACCUCUUCGACAUUAAUUUGUAGAGUUUCUAGCUUUCCAAUGGCGUGUCCCUCCAAUGCCUCCAAAGAGCUUUCAAGAGAUUUGACCCGAUCACCCAUAUUUGAGAUGAUUUGGUCAAGUUUACCUUCCAUGUUGGUGGCUUCCCUCACCUUACUUUUGCCUCUAGUUUUCCUUACUUCAGUUUGGGCAGCACCUCGACCCCUCUCCUCAAUCUCAAUACCAACAGUUUCUUGAGAUUCCGCCAUUAUAACGGCCUACAAACGAGGCUCUGAUACCACUUGUCACGGACCUAGUUUCGUUACACCCGAACAACUAGAACCGUGCGGCUUUAACGCUUGACAAUUCCCGCACCUUACGAGAAAACGUUAAGUCAGCCUUUUCACGCUCACAAAUAAUUUAACCAAGGAGGCUAAAUUAUACCCACGUUGAGAAGAGAAUUUUGAAAUAAGGGAUAUAUGAAAAACAAGUAAGGUCGGGAAACUUUCUUUGUAUAAAUGAAAGGGAAAACUUUACAAUCUCUCUAAUGAAUAAACUCAUUGAACUCUACAUGAUUUACAAAUGAGACUUCCAUCUCUAUUUAUAGGCAAAAUUUAAACCUCCUUAAGAUUAAGUGGCAUUACUUUACAACCUACGCUUAGUUGUUCACAACUCGUGCUAGUUGUUUACAACUCAUGCUAGUUGUUUACAACUCAUGUUUAGUUGUCGUCAAGUGGAUAAGCUUACAACUUUCCUUGCAAGUUGUCGCCAACUCGAUCUUAGCUUGCAUAGUAGAUAUUAUUCUUGCCAACUCGUGCUUAGCUUGCACUUUUGAUAAUAUCUUCGCCAACUCGCGCUUAGCUUGUAUCUUUGAUAAUAUCUUGCAAGUGGCACAAGUGGACAAGUUGUACAAGUUGCUUACUUGCAUCCCAAAAUAUCCCGCUGCAGGUUCAUGUAUUUUUCCUCCAAAAUGGUUGGGUCGGGAUUUAGAAAAACCUCAUUAACGCCCUGGAAAACUGCACAAUUUUAGGCAGCCUGCAUUCUGCCCAUUCCGUCCUGUUGCAGCGUGCUGUCCACACUGUUUUGCGGCUGCUACCGGGACGGAUCGAACGCGACCGCGUGGGGCGUAAGUACAGGCAUCCUAAGUAAUUCAGGUUCGGCCAGAGUAGCUCCCAAAAAUAUGGCCACCCCUAUCCCCUCAUGUCAAUCCACAGAGACUAGGCGCGGAAGGGUAGGCUUUUUCCUUGUGAGAUUUCAAUUGAGCUGAUUGCCGCUUGCAAGAGAAAAAAAAGCAGGCCGUCAGAAAUCGAGAGGGAAGGUCCUCCAAGGAAGAGGCAUAGAAAGAGUGAGAAAGCUCAAUCAAGAAAAAAUAUUUUUUUUAAUUAAAUGAAUCUCUUGCCAGACUCGGGUCCCUAUCAUCGGCUUGUUGGCCGCCUCAUUUACCUCACCAUUACCCGACUUGACAUUAUCUUUGCAGUCAACAUACUUAGUCAGUUCAUGCAUGUACCCCGAGCACCUUAUUUGAUUGCUGCUCAUCGAGUUCUUCGCUAGCUUAAGGGCACUUCUGGUCAUGGCAUUUUCUUUGUAGCCUCCAGUUGUCUUGGGCUCAUUGCCUAUACAGAUUCAGACUAGGCCAGCUGCCCAACCCCUUGCCGUUCCACCAUUGGUUACUUCGUCCACCUCGGUACCAACCCCAUUUGUUGGCACACCAAGAAAUAAAUCACCCUGGCUCGCUCCACCACUAAGGCUGAAUACCGAGCCAUGGCCAUAACCACAUGUGAGCUUAUUUGGCUCAAAACUUGCUGAUCUCAGCAUAUCCCAUUCACUUGCUACUUAUCUUUUUGUGACAAUCAGUCGGUACUACAUAUUGCUUACAAGCUAGUAUUUCAUUAGCAGACCAAACACAUAGAGAUUGAUUGCCACACUAUUCGUGACAAGCUUUGCUCUGGUUUCCUCACUCUAUCUCAUGUCUCCGCAACCGAUUAGAUUGAAGAUAUUUUUACCAAGCAUUGGGUCAUGACUUAUUUCAUUGCUUCUUCUGCAAGUUGGGAUCAUAGAUCUUCAUGCGCUAACAUGAGGGAGAGUAUUAACAUUUCCAUACUAAGAACGCAGUUGCACAAAAUCUGCAUGGAUUUUAGUCAAUUUUUCCCGUAAAUCUUUAUUCUUAGAAUAGAAGAAUUGCACAAGAUUAGCAUGGUUUUUAGCAUAGUUUCACAAAAUCUGCUUGGAUGUUAGUUCAUUUUACUUGUAAUCAGCAUGGAUCUUAGUCAUUUUACUUGUAUAGCAACCUCACCGUACCUAUUUAUUGACAUUACGAAUGAAUGUAACAUAUAGCAGAAUUAUACAAAUCCUUUUCUUAACAGAAAACCUGAGAAUUUUAAUCCUUUUUGUUUUAUAUGUAUUUUUUUUGGUGUUUAUAAUGAACUUCAGGAAGCCUCAAGCUGGUACAAAGAAGUGAAUCCAUCAAAGAGGUACCCAUUUUGCAUUUUCUAUAAGUUGUCGACAAUGAUCAUAGAUUUUACUUGUUUAAAGUGAACACAAACAUUUUGUUAUGCAUGUAGCACGAUCAUAAAUGAUGCAUGAUUAUGACAUGAUAUUGUUAAUAUCGUAGGUAAAGUAUAUGAUACGUGUAGUUUGUUGGCAAAGCACCAUAUGACAUGAUUAAUUGUAUCAAGGUCUGAAUUUAGUAGGACUCUCUAGCCUAGCUUUUAUAACACACCAAUUUAUUAUUUUCUCAUUGUUGGUAAAUUGUAACAAUGCAUUGUCCUAGUUAACUCGGCCACAUAGGACUUUCGUGUUAGUUCGACUAAGAGAAGUGAACAGAGUAACCACCUUUGGGACUAGAUGGAGAUGAAUGACCAGUUUGACAUAAAAGAUAUAUAGACGAAGUGUUAUUAUCUUCAAAAUAUAUCUGAUUAAGAAUGGUAUUUUGGAAAAAUUUUAUGGAUGCAAAACAUGAAAAAAUUGGUCGUCCAAACUUCAAGAGUUGAGAAUGAGUUUAAAGACUAAUUCGUAGUAAAUCACUACAAAAUUGAUUUCAUAUUCUUUGAGGGAAAAGGAUCCCAAGGCUAGAUAUUCUAUACGAGCUGGGCGAUUAUUAAGCAAAAGUAGCUGUACUUUAGGAUCAAUGUUGUCUUUAUAAGAUACGGCAAAAGUACACCAAUUACUUUAUAUUUAGAAGAUGUUUUUCCCUUUAGGCAUAACAUAAUUGGCGAACCCUUUACUUCUAGUACUUGGGCUUCAAAUAAUAUACACCAUCUUAGUUCAUAUCUAGAAUCAAACACGAACUUAAAAAUAGUAAAAGAAAUAGAAAAGCGAAGAAUUUUGAAGAAGGAUAUUUGGACUCUUUUGAUUGAAUUUGAAUAUGAAUCUGUUGGAUAUUUUAGCUCCAUGAGCAAAAAAUGUACAUAUGUUUUAGAAUGAGGAAUCUGCAGAAUCUUCAAGUGACGAAAAUAAAAGGAAAUGGGAAUGAAAGGACUCACCAUGUAUCACACCACACACGGCCAAGUGAAGAGUUUAAAGAGAGAAAAUGGAAGAAAAAUAGAGGAAGGUUGGUUCUGUGUAGAGGGAGAUUGAGACUCACAAAAAUUAGUAAUAUGAAACUUUGAUUAGUGAAAUGGUUCUCCAUGUCCGUAGGUGAUCUUCUCGAUUAUGUAAAUUUUUGAGUUUUUCCUCUCCUAUGAUUAUCAAAAUAUGGAAGUUCUGUUAUGAGAAAUUAAAUUCCAAUUUUCUCAUCCAGUUCUCUAGAGUAUCAUUCAUCCAUUCUUAGUAUUUAUCUAAGAUCAUAUACCUUCAUUUUUUCGCACUGAUAAUAAUACCCUCAGCAUAGUUUUAUGGAUCAAAUAAAUUUACUGAAAACUGAUUCUUAAAAAUACUUUCAUCUGAAUCACCGAUUUUAUUUUAGUUUGUCAUAAAUAUAUAUUUGAUAUUUGAAAUGCUGCAAUUGGAUUGCAAGCCUUAUUCUCCGUUAAUUUUAAUCAUACAUGUUGAAAUACGCACAUAGGAACCUAAUCUGAAUUUCCUUUAAAUAUUACUGCUCAUCUUGCUUAAGGUUCUUAUUUUUCCACCUAAAAAACCAGGAAUAGGAGUUUGUAUUGGAGUUUGACAUUUUUAUAAAUCCGUUUAUUAUUAAAGAAAUGUUUAAAUUCGUUUUGCUCAAGUUAGUAGCGAAAUUAUUACAGAACGACAAUCACGGGUGAUACAAUAAUAUUAGCUGGAUCAAUUCUUAAGAGAGAUGAAAGAGUUCCUGACUCAACCCACUCUCCAUCCAUGGACAGCUUCGAAUAUAUAUUCCUGUUUAUGGUUGCUUUAGUCAUUGUUAGUUUCUUCAUGGUGCAGUUAUAAUGAUUAUCGAAGGAGUAUUUUUACAUGUUCUUUUUCUUUAUGAUCAAUAAAUUAUUAGAUGAUUUGAUACAUAUAAUUCAGUACUUUUGUUCUUUUGACGCAUUAUUAUAAUGUUUUUCCGGCCUUCUUGUUGAUUUUAUUUUUUCCUUACUUAAAUAUAGUUUUGUCAUCAACGCCUCCUUAUUUAAAAGUAUGUGGCGACCAAACUGAAUCACGACCUUAGCAUGUUAUGCAAUAUUGAAGCAUUUCAUUUAAAGUUUAAGGAUUAGAGAUAUGACAAACUUACUCAUUAAUUUUAUAUUUCAAAACAUAAUUUCAUGAUUAAGUGAUAAACCC
rnacentral:lncRNA from 1 species